GACGAACGCUGGCGGCGUGCUUAACACAUGCAAGUCGAACGGAAAGGCCCUGCUUUUGUGGGGUGCUCGAGUGGCGAACGGGUGAGUAACACGUGAGUAACCUGCCCUUGACUUUGGGAUAACUUCAGGAAACUGGGGCUAAUACCGGAUAGGAGCUCCUGCUGCAUGGUGGGGGUUGGAAAGUUUCGGCGGUUGGGGAUGGACUCGCGGCUUAUCAGCUUGUUGGUGGGGUAGUGGCUUACCAAGGCUUUGACGGGUAGCCGGCCUGAGAGGGUGACCGGCCACAUUGGGACUGGGAUAAGGCCCAGACUCCUACGGGAGGCAGCAGUGGGGAAUAUUGCACAAUGGGCGGAAGCCUGAUGCAGCAACGCCGCGUGCGGGAUGACGGCCUUCGGGUUGUAAACCGCUUUCGCCUGUGACGAAGCGUGAGUGACGGUAAUGGGUAAAGAAGCACCGGCUAACUACGUG
rnacentral:rRNA from 1 species